CUUACAUUGAUGAAAGUAUAUGGAAGGCAUACCGCUGGCCUGAGAAUCUAUUCUAUGUAUAAGUGACAACAUACAGUAUUUGUCUUUCUUUGGAAAAAACAGACUAUAAAAUAAAGACCAUGAAAAGGGACAAAGAAGGAGCUUACAUAAUGAUAAAGGGACUGUUCCAACAAGAAUAUAUAAUUGCAAGGGUAACAAAAGCAGAAAUAAAUAAAUGGGACUACAUCAAAAUGAAAAGUUACACACGGUGAAGGAAACUAUCAGUAAAA